rnacentral:rRNA from 1 species
AUCGCGUCGCCCCCCAAAACCGUGCAUGAAACAUUGCCGGUUGUCGAGGGACGGACAUUGCUUCCCGUGCUUCGUUGCGGCUGCAUAAAUGUGAGUCCCUUGUGACGGACACGACGACAAGUGGUGGUUGAUUUCUUCAACUAAGGUGUGUCGCUCGUCUGCCUGUCRGAUGAGGAGACUUCCAUGACCCUCAUACCACUUACGACGCCUGCCACGACCGC